rnacentral:rRNA from 1 species
GAGUUUGAUCUUGGCUCAGAUUGAACGCUGGCGGAAUGCUUUACACAUGCAAGUCGAGCGGCAGCGCGGGGCAACCUGGCGGCGAGCGGCGAACGGGUGAGUAAUGCAUCGGAACAUGUCCAUGUCGUGGGGGAUAGCCCGGCGAAAGCCGGAUUAAUACCGCAUACGCCCGAGAGGGGAAAGUGGGGGACCGCAAGGCCUCACGCGAUUGGGUUGGCCGAUGUCCGAUUAGCUAGUUGGCGGGGUAAGAGCCCACCAAGGCGAUGAUCGGUAGCUGGUCUGAGAGGAUGAUCAGCCACACUGGGACUGAGACACGGCCCAGACUCCUACGGGAGGCAGCAGUGGGGAAUUUUGGACAAUGGGGGAAACCCUGAUCCAGCCAUUCCGCGUGAGUGAAGAAGGCCUCCGGGUUGUAAAGCUCUUUUGUCCGGAACGAAACGGCUAGCGUGAAUAUCGCUGGCUACUGACGGUACCGGAAGAAUAAGCACCGGCUAACUACGUGCCAGCAGCCGCCGUAAU